rnacentral:rRNA from 1 species
GACGAACGCUGGCGGCGCGCUUAACACAUGCAAGUCGAACGGAAAGGCCUGCUUUCCCUUGUGGAUUGCGGGUACUCGAGUGGCGAACGGGUGAGUAACACGUGAGUGAUCUGCCCCCAACUUGGGUAUAAGCCUGGGAAACUGGGUCUAAUUCCCGAUAGGACUGCAGGGUGGUGCCUGUGGUGGAAAACGAUUUUCUAGUGGUUGGGGAUGAGCUCGCGGCCUAUCAGCUUGUUGGUGGGGUAAUGGCCUACCAAGGCGGCGACGGGUAGCCGGCCUGAGAGGGUGGACGGCCACAUUGGGACUGAGAUACGGCCCAGACUCCUACGGGAGGCAGCAGUGGGGAAUAUUGCACAAUGGGCGGAAGCCUGAUGCAGCGACGCCGCGUGGGGGAUGACGGCCUUCGGGUUGUAAACUCCUUUCGACCGCGAGGAAGCCACCUGGUUAGAAGGGUGGUGACGGUAGUGGUAGAAGAAGCACCGGCUAACUACGUG